CCUUCAACAUUUCUAUAGCUUUUUCCGGCGACACUUUUAAAUCCAACCAUAGCUGCAAACAUUUACAUUUUACAAAGAAAUUGUAUAUAAAUCUAUUUGUCAAACGAUUUAUAUUUUUAUUUAUACUUACACGACAUUGUUCAUCGUCUAGAAAAAUUGGCGUACGAUCAUGCAACCAUGACAAAACGUGAUUCGCUUCUUUAAAUGAAAACAAAUCUGAAGAUAUGCGGUUUAAUUUCUGUUGGUUUUACGGAGUCCAUUACCUCAACUAACCUUAUGCCAAGGCGGUAUCAUACCCCAUAACAUAGGACAAAGAAGUCUUUCCUCCUUAUUCACUAAGUGCAUACCAGCGACAACACAAGGAACAACAUCUCUGGGACCUAUGUUGCAUGAUUGUACAUAAACAGAUUCACUGGUAUCCACCCAUGGUACUUUAUGAUAUUCGCCUGAUGGUUUUUUGUAUGCGCAAGCACAUGACAAUUUAUCUUUCGACAAAGUACUGCAAAUAAAAAUGUAAUUUUUAAA
rnacentral:lncRNA from 1 species